GCCCAGGUGGUGGAAUUGGUAGACACGCAGGACUUAAAAUCCUGUUCCGUUUACGGAGUGCGGGUUCGAUUCCCGCCCUGGGCA
rnacentral:tRNA from 1 species